rnacentral:lncRNA from 1 species
CCCUGUAGUCCCAGCGACUCAAAAGGCUGAUGUAGGAGAAUUGCUGUAGCCCAGAAUUCAAGGCUGCAGUGAUGAAUUUUGGGUAGAGAACACACCCACGUACACACAAUACAGAAUAGGCGUAAAGACCUGAAGUAAAAGUAAAAUGUGUUGCGGAAUUUUUUGAUAAGCUCCAGGAAACAGGCAUUUCUCAUGAUGAGUCUACAUAAUGCCUGUGGGCUCCCAGGCCACCUAGCAAUUUAUCACUAUCGGAGCUGUUCCAGAAACGGGUGACCUCCUGAUUCCGUGGGCCUGCAUGGGGGUGACACAGAUGUACGGGCCUCACCAGGAACCAAUCAAAAGUCAGCCUGAUUCCUUCCUGCGGCAGAUCAGCCAUGGCCAUCUCUAUGGGCUUUGUAUUUCCUGCGGUUCAGGUGAGAAGCCCCAUAUCCAUCCCCACUUUCACACUGUUGAACUUACCGUUCACUGCUCAACGCCCCCCCCCCCACCCGUGCCUACAGCCGUGCCUGACCCAUGGUGAGCGUUCAGUCAGCACUGGAGGGCUGGAUAAUUUGUCCUAGGAGGUCACCGUUUUGUCGCCUCCAUUUGCUGACUCUUUGGUAACACACAUUUCUCUGACCGAGACAGAAGCCUUAGUUACUGCCCACAUCUGGCUUGUCUGCCAUUAGGGAUAUCCACGAUGCUUAUUUCCAGGAAGUCCUGUCAUCAACACCACAGUGAUCAUGGUCUCGUCCAGGAGAGUAGAGCGUGCGUAUGCCAGUGGGACAUGAGCCCUCAGCCAGUGUCUCCCGUCCUUCUGCCCUUCCAUUUGUCAUCAUGGCCCUUGCUGUGGCCCUCCUGUGGCUGUCCUGCAGCUCAGAGGGGGGCGACAGGGCGCCCUGGCCACUGCUCCCCUGCCGUGCUGUCCACAGGUGGUGGAAACGUGCCCCCAUCUGCAGGCACACAGCUGCUAACCCAUUUUCUUUGUUCUCAUUUUAAAUCCUAUCGGAGUCAUCUCUCCACAAACCCUGCCUCAUUUAUUUCUAAAGUUUGUUAAGUUCUGAGUGUAAGAAAUCAGUUGCUCUGGGUGACCUGAACUGUUCCCCAGGCAACCACACUGUGGGGUCCAGCCAGCCUUUGCUGCUGCUUUGUUCCCAAACCAGCCAGAAGUGGCAGCCCGGGGAGAUGGUGGCACCCCUCGCCCCUGCUCACAGGAGACCUGCCCGGGCUUCGCACUUCACUGUCUCCGUGGGUGGCUCUAGCCAACCCUUCUGAAGAAAUCAAGUGACAUGAAAGCUAACACAUGUCUCUGAAGCAACGCAGAGCUGAGAUUCGAAUCCAGGCAGUUUGACCUCAAAGUCCAGACUCUCCCAUGCGAGGCUCUCCUGCUUGCUCUGGCAGAUGAGGGGCAGCCAGUUUGAUAUCUACGGAAUUAAGCUGCCAAAUUGGGAAGGCAACCUGGAUGAAAUAAGCCACGUGAGCUCUGGCUCGCCACCAACGCACUGAGGAGAGAGGUGCCCUCAGCAUGCUGGGCAGAACGUCGGGGAAACGCGGCCUUCGAGCAGGACCGCCCACCUGUCAGAAGGGAGCACUCCUCUACAGAGCCGAGGGGCAGUCAGCCACCCUCAGGCCCCUGCGGCCCUGCUGUCCCCAGCACAGCGACUGAAGUUCUCACUGAGGGGCCUCGUCCCCUCCGGGUCAGGCCUUUCCAGGAACCUGGCUCUGCCAGCUGCAAAGCAGGCGGGGGCUCACGGUUAAGGCCAUCGCAGGGCAGCGGCCAUUCUUCCCUCCUGGCUGCCCGGCUGGGCCCCUGAUAACAGCCUCCACACCGCAGUCAGAGUUCAAAGCCCUCCUUCCCUUCCACCGCAGGGCUUGGCUUUGCUGCUUCUGGGCUCCGAGAAAGGAACAGGGCCGCAGAAACCAGAGGAAUGGAAAGGUAUCCACAGAGAAGGCCGCCUUGCAGACAUGAAGUGGGACGUUCCGUAAGACAGCAUCUCGAGCUGGACUUGGCGGGGAGAGGGAGGCGGCCCCGCACAGGCCAGGGAGGCCCCAGCACACAUGAGGCCGGGGUGGAGGCCCUGGCUCUGCGGUGCCACCUGUCCUCCCCAGGGCGCACCCAAGCCCAAGGGUUCCUUCCCAACCGUGGGGUCUGAGUUUGUCAUCUUCCAGCUUUCUCAAGUCCCCUGAGUCAUGAGAACUUCCUCUACACACAGGCAGGUCUGUGUUUUAUAUGAACCAUGUUUCCAUGGUAAAUAGAUUUUAAGAAUUCCCAAAGGACAGACAGUGUCACCAACAGCAGAGAGUGGAGCCUCUGGCUGCCUCAUGUUUGAAAGUGUUAAAAAUAAAGACAACACUGACAUUUGGGGUUGUAAUGUGACGGAAUUACAGUCUUUUAAAGGCAAGAACCACUUAUCUACACUACAUGCAAUAUUCAGUGUUUUGUUCACUUGUCUAAUUGGAUUAAAAUAUUUAGCUCCCUUUAAAA